UUGUAAAUUAUUUCCAGGGACAAGAAGUUCAGUCCAGGGAAACAAAGGAACAAAAACAAGUGUCUUUUCCCUCAUGAAUGUAGUUGUGAACUAUGCAAAGUGUUGAGGAGAAGUGGUGGGAACCAUGUCUCUGUAGUUUUGCUAAAAUACUGUGUACCAUAGAGAGCAGUGAUCUGUUUAGCCUCCUAGACAUUUUUACAGCAUUUUCCAGCUCAAUCGCAUUAAUUUCAAGCAUGAUCAAAGAAAAUUUUAAGAUUUAAUCCCCUUAAGGAGGGGUUUUUGGCAUCACCAGGAGCUUUCUUUUGACCUAAAUUAGAGUUGAGCUAUAGUGCAGAGUAUUUGUUUUAUUCUAGUAAAGGUUUUCAAGAUGACACAUCAAACUGAGACUGCUUGGAAUAUAGAGGAUCAUUUGAUUAGGAAUAUUAGAGCUGUUUUUUUUUUUUUUGAGGGGUGGUUAGGUCCUGUCCAGCUUAAUCUUAGUUAUGUGCUGAAAAGGAUGCACAGACUUUAAAGACUCUUCACAAUGGUUUGGGGAUUUCAAAGCAAGCCGUUCUUCCUAUUUGCAGGCCUAAAGCCAGUGUCAACAGCAUUGAUUUGUAUGUUUGUUCAAGAUACCCCAUUCAUAACUGCCAACAAUACCUUCCCUCCACCAUUCUGUGAUGGGCUACAAAGAUGUAAACCUGGACUGACUUCUGAUGGGAUGCUAUAUGGAUUUUUAAAACAACUUUUAGAUUCAAAGGAGGGUUUCUUCAUGUUGAAUCUUCUCAUUUCCAUGUUAGCCUGACAUUCAAGCAGUUUUGUCAAAAGUAUGGCAUUGAUAUUCCGUGGAGAAUAAAGAGUUGUAGUGAUGAUUUUUCUGGCUACCUUGUGGAUUUGCCAUGUGCUGCUAAGAAUACUGAUGUCUGUGAGAGAACUGAAGAGUGAAUGACUGAAAGAUUUCCUGCCUUUAUUUACAAAUGUGUAGGCACAGGAAUAGACAAGUAAUUACUAAGUCAGCCCCUUAAUUUUCCUUAUACUGUGUGGGAAUAGUAGAAUGGAAACUGCCUCAGCAACUUUCCACUGAAAAGAAAAAUUAUAACCAGAUACAAAUUCACAGGGAAAACACUUAAAGAAAUCCUCCUCUCCCUCCUCCUCCUCCUCUUUUGGAGAUGGGGAGGGAGAGUGAGUAUACCAAUUUUUCUCUGUGCUGAAAAAUACCUUCUGCUUCUGUCUUUGGCCACUUAGGAGGUCAUUUAAUCAGGCCUUCCUUACCCUACUUUUACAUUCAGCAUUAAGGCAACAGAGCUUGUCCAGGGGAUUUUGAUGCCGUCGUAGGCUCUGCAGUGAUUUAUGUCUUCAAUUCUAUUCUAGGGGAAAAUCUCUUUUGACCACUGCAACCCAUGACAUGAAAGAAAGAAGAGGAGAAAGCUUGCAUGAAUACUGAGCAGAAUUCAUUGGGGAAUAAUCAAGCUGAAUCCAAAUGUCAGCUCUCCACAAACUGAAGGGCUACCUUCUUCUGCAGAAGCAGAGAAAUGGGCAAUUUUCACCAAUUCCUCUUUUCCCUUAGCAUGUGACCCUGGAGAAUCCAAAAGAGCAAGUAUUGGCAAUGAUCAAAGAAUUAUCUCAGCAAAACUCUAUUAAGCCAUCUCCUGCAUUUUUGCAUUUACUCCAUCUGAAUUUUCCUGUAACUCCAAGUUUCUCCGUUUCCUUAAUUUUGAACUACUGUACCCAUUAGUAGUCUAUGACCUUUCUAAAUGCUGCAUUUAGCAGCUCUUGAAAUUUGCUACAGGAUUCAUAACUUCUUGUAUCUGAGGUAGGGACGUACUUGUUCAUUAAAAUCUGAUUC